rnacentral:rRNA from 1 species
ACGUGAGUAACCUGCCCUUGACUUCGGGAUAAGCCUGGGAAACCGGGUCUAAUACCGGAUACGACCUCCUGGCGCAUGCCAUGGGGGUGGAAAGCUUUAUUGCGGUUUUGGAUGGACUCGCGGCCUAUCAGCUUGUUGGUUAGAGUAAUGGCCCACCAAGGCGACGACGGGUAGCCGGCCUGAGAGGGUGACCGGCCACACUGGGACUGAGACACGGCCCAGACUCCUACGGGAGGCAGCAGUGGGGAAUAUUGCACAAUGGGCGAAAGCGGGAAGACAGGGGACGCCGCGUGAGGGAUGACGGCCUUCGGGUUGUAAACCUCUUUCAGCAGGGAAGAAGCGAAAGUGACGGUACCUGCAGAAGAAGCGCCGGCUAACUACGUGCCAGCAGCCGCGGUAAUACGUAGGGCGCAAGCGUUAUCCGGAAUUAUUGGGCGUAAAGAGCUCGUAGGCGGUUUGUCGCGUCUGCUGUGAAAGCCCGGGGCUCAACCCCGGGUCUGCAGUGGUACGGCAGACUAGAGUGAUGUAGGGGAGACUGAAUUUCCUGGUGUAGCGGUGAAAUGCGCAGAUAUCAGAGGACACCGAUGGCG